rnacentral:rRNA from 1 species
AUUGAACGCUGGCGGCAUGCUUUACACAUGCAAGUCGAACGGCAGCGCGGGGCAACCUGGCGGCGAGUGGCGAACGGGUGAGUAAUACAUCGGAACGUACCCAGAAGUGGGGGAUAACGUAGCGAAAGUUACGCUAAUACCGCAUACGUUCUACGGAAGAAAGUGGGGGACCUUCGGGCCUCAUGCUUUUGGAGCGGCCGAUGUCUGAUUAGCUAGUUGGUGAGGUAAAGGCUCACCAAGGCGACGAUCAGUAGCUGGUCUGAGAGGACGACCAGCCACACUGGGACUGAGACACGGCCCAGACUCCUACGGGAGGCAGCAGUGGGGAAUUUUGGACAAUGGGCGCAAGCCUGAUCCAGCAAUGCCGCGUGAGUGAAGAAGGCCUUCGGGUUGUAAAGCUCUUUUGUCAGGGAAGAAACGGCUGAGGAUAAUACCUUCGGCUAAUGACGGUACCCGAAGAAUAAGCACCGGCUAACUACGUG